UUUUUAGUUUCAGAAGAACAGACCUAGAAAUGUUCCUUGUAUGGUUACUCCACUAUGCUUCUAUCAUCGUAGUUGACACCACAGCAAAACCUACUUGUUGAAUUGCAAUCCCCUUUCCAAAGGGUAUUCGGAUUUGGUUUCAAAUUUUCAUCUUUCAACUACGCACACAUGUGUCUCCCCUCUUCCUCUCACCUUCUAUCUGCUACUGCUUCUUCUCGUUUCCAACCCUUGAUCCUCAACAGCACCGUCUCUAUCGAACCUUCCUUUCUGGGUUUCAAGGGAGGCAAUGGAUGUGUGCUGUAAGUUUUAGAAGCAGUGGAUGAAAAUCCUGUGAAACUCAAGCAGAGACUUCGUUUGGGAUUUCUCUCUCGGUUUGAAUAUUGGAUCAAUCGUGAUAUUGGGAGAGCUAGCAUAUUUGCACCUUACAAUUAAAGAAUUAAUUUAUUUGAUGAGUUGCUGAAUUUGAUGGAGAAACAAGUCGUGGAGGCUAUGGCAGUUGAUUAUUGGACUUCUUGUGAGGCUUUAGGUUUUAUCUUUAUGUUCGAAUUGGAAUUGCUUUAGUCUCUCUUGUUAGUUCAAUAGGAAGGUACGUAUGUCUGUCAAUUUUGUGGUGCUGAUUCUUGAUGCAACGAAUUGGAAGAAGAUUUAGAACUGCUAACGACUCAGGUUAUUUUAUUUCCGACAAAUCCAGGAGUUGGUUGAACUGUUUGCAUUCAUAGCAUUAGCAUUCCGGGAGAUUUCCCUUGCCGAUAGAAUGUAACAUGAAAGGGCAACUUCUCAAGAUAACCUAAUUUCUUUUACGUGUUUUGAAAAGAUUAAUCUUUUCAAUGGUGUUUGGAUUUGUUGUGUAACGUAGUGCACAAUGAAUAUGGGACAUGUGGUGUAGGGCUUUGACUCUUUGUUUGAAAGUUCUAUAAAAUUGAAGUUCUUGAUAAUCUAUCACGUGAACUUUUCGUUUUCAUAUUGUCCUUUUCCCUCUUCAUUUUCAUUGGGUUGAUUGUUCAAUUUUGUGAUUCUUGAUUAUCCCACUUCUGUUUUGAAGUUCUGAAAAUUAAUUUUUUAUUUUCUUAGGUGUUUUGAAAAGAUGAAUCUUUUUUGAAAAGAUGAAUCUUUUCAAUGGUGUUUGGAUUUGUUGUGUAACUAGUACAUAGUGAAUAUGGGAGAUGAAGGGUAGGGCUUUGAUUCUUUGUUUGAAAGUUCUAUAAAGUUGAACUUUAGUAGUGGUAAUCUAUCAUGUGGACUUUUCGUUUUCAUAUUGUCCUUUUCUCUCUUCACUUUCAUUGGGUUGAUUGUUCAAUUUUGUGAUUCUUGAUUAUCUCACUUCUGUUUUGAAGUUCUGAAAAUUAAUUUUUAUUUUCUUAGGUGUUUUGAAAAGAUGAAUCUUUUCAAUGGUGUUUGGAUUUGUUGUGUAACUAGUGCACAGUGAAUAUGGGACAUGUGGGGUAGGGCUUUGAUUCUUUGUUUGAAAGUUCUAUAAAGUUAAACUUUAGUAGUGGUAAUCUAUCAUGUGGACUUUUCGUUUUCAUAUUGUUCUUUUCUCUCUUCACUUUCAUUGGGUUGAUUGUUCAAUUUUAUGAUUCUUGAUUAUCUCUCUUCUGUUUUAAAGUUCUGAAAAUUAAUUUUUUAUUUUCUUAGGUGUUUUGAAAAGAUGAAUCUUUUCAAUGGUGUUUGGAUUUGUUGUGUAACGUAGUACACAAUGAAUAUGGGUCAUGUUGGGUAGGGCUUUGACUCUUUCUUUGAAAGUUCUAUAAAAUUAAUUUUAGUAGUUGUAAUUAGCAACCAGUUCUUGAUAUUUAUCAUGCGGACUUUUUGUUUUCAUAUUGUCCUGUUCUCUCUUCAGUUUCAUUGGGUUGAUUGUUCAAUUUUAUGAUUCUUGAUUAUCCCACUUCUGUUUUGAAGUUCUCAAAAUUAUUUUUUUUAUUUUCUUAGGUGUUUUGAUAAGAUGAAUCUUUUCAAUGGUGUUUGGAUUUGUUGUGUAACGUAGUGCACAAUGAAUAUGGGACAUGUUGGGUAGGGCUUUGACUCUUUCUUUGAAAGUUCUAUAAAAUUAAUUUUAGUAGUUGUAAUUAGCAACCAGUUCUUGAUAUUUAUCAUGCGGACUUUUUGUUUUCAUAUUGUCCUGUUCUCUCUUCAGUUUCAUUGGGUUGAUUGUUCAAUUUUAUGAUUCUUGAUUAUCCCACUUCUGUUUUGAAGUUCUCAAAAUUAUUUUUUUUAUUUUCUUAGGUGUUUUGAUAAGAUGAAUCUUUUCAAUGCUGUUUGGAUUUGUUGUGUGACUAGUGCACAGUGAAUAUGGCACAUGUGGGGUAGGGCUUUGAUUCUUUGUUUGAAAGUUCUAUAAAGUUGAAUUUUAGUAGUGGUAAUCUAUCCUGUGAACUUUUCGUUUUCAUAUUGUCUUUUUCUCUCUUCACUUUCAUUGGGUUGAUUGUUCAAUUUUGUGAUUCUUGAUUAUCCCAUUUCUCUCUUGAAGUUCUGAAAAUUAUUUUUUUAUUUUCUUAGGUGUUUUGAAAAGAUGAAUCUUUUUAAUGGUGUUUGAAUUUGUUGUGUAACUAGUGCACAAUGAAUAUGGGAGAUGAGGGGUAGGGCUUUGAUUCUUUGUUUAAAAGUUCUAUAAAGUUGAACUUUAGUAGUGGUAAUCUAUCAUGUGCACUUUUCAUUUUAAUAUUGUCCUUUUCUCUCUUCACUUUCAUUGGAUUGAUUGUUCAAUUUUGUGAUUCUUUGAUUAUCUCACUUCUGUUUUGAAGUUCUGAAAAUUAAUCUUUUAUUUCCUUAGGUGUUUUGAAAAGAUGAAUCUUUUCAAUGGUGUUUUGAUUUGUUGUGUAACCGAGUGCACAAUGAAUAUGGGACAUGUGGGGUAGGGCUUUGACUCUUUGUUUGAAAGCUCUAUAAAAUUGAAUUUUAGUAGUUGUAAAUAGCAACCAGUUCUUGAUAUCUAUGAUGUGAACUUUUUGUUUUCAUAUUGUCCUUUUCUCUCUUCAGUUUCAUUGGGUUGAUUGUUCAAUUUUAUGAUUUUUGAUUAUCGCACUUCUGUUUUGAAAUUCUGAAAAUUAUUUUUUUAUUUUUUAGGUGUUUUGGAAAUAUGAAUCUUUUCAAUGGUGUUUGGAUUUGUUGUGUAACUAGUGCACAGUGAAUAUGGGCCAUGUGGGGGUAGGGCUUUGAUUGUUUGUUUGAAAGUUCUAUAAAAUUGAAUUUUAGUAGUGGUAAUCUAUCAUGUGGACUUUUCGAUUUCAUAUUGUCUUUUUCUCUCUUCACUUUCAUUGGGUUGAUUGUUCAAUUUUGUGAUUCUCUAUUAUCCCACUUAUGUUUUGAAGUUCUGAAAAUUAUUUUUUUAUUCUUAGGUGUUUUGAAUGAAUGAAUCUUUUCAAUGGUGUUUGGAUUUGUUGUGUAACUAGUGUACAAUAAAUAUGGGAGAUGAGGGGUAGGGCUUUGAUCCUUUGUUUGAAAGGUCUAUAAAGUUGAACUUUAGUAGUGGUAAUCUUUUAUGUUGACUUUUCGUUUUCAUAUUGUCCGUUUCUCUCUUUACUCUCAUUGGGUUGAUUGUUCAAUUUUGUGAUUCUUGAUUAUCCCACUUCUGUUUUGAAAUUCUGAAAAUUAUUUUUUUGUUUUUAGGUGUUUUGAAAAGAUGAAUUUUUUCAGUGAUGUUUUGAUUUGUUGUGUAACUAGUGCACAGUGAAUAUGGGAAAUGUGAGAUAGGGCUUGAUUCUUUGUUUGAAAGUUCUAUAAAGUUAAACUUUAGUAGUUGUAAUCUGCAUAAAUAAAUAGGGACAUUCGAAAUUAAACCAUAAUUAUAAAAUAAACAUUAUUAGUAAGAAUUUAGAAUUGAUAUAAAUGAUGAAAGAAAAGGAAGGUAUGAAAACCCAGCCGAAUGAACUGAUUCACAGCUUUUAAAAAAGAAAACUCGCCACUCAUAUACGGCCACGUGGCAGGAAGGGAGUUACCAGGUUAGUACACAGGGACACUCGACUUGCUAUAUAUAGGUGGAAGUUUGAAAGAAAAAGGAGCUUACUGGGUUUUUAGAAUUGGAAUAACACAGGGGAGGGAACUGGGAUUGAAAAAGGAGGAAAAAAGGUGAAGAAAGUAAGAAGCAGGAAAAAAGUGUGGGAAAAUAGUAGAAGGCAGAGAAGAAAGAAGAAUUCGGAAAAGGUUGAGAAAGCAGAGAAGGGGAAAGAAGGUUUGAAUAGUAUUGGUUUCACACAGCGAAGGUUCUUUAUCCCAUUCUUUAUCUCUUUAGUUAAAUUGAUUAAAUCACUGGUCAAAUUUCUUAUAUUUCGGAUGUGCUCCUGCGUGUUUGUUAAUCAAUGUUUGAUACUCUUCUUUCCUGUAAAUCUCAUGCACAAUUUCUUGGUAUUUUUGCGAUAAGUUUUGUUUUCUUCUUGAAUGGCUAUUUUUGUUCUUUAAAUCAUAAAAAAACUUGACAGCCGGAGAAUAAAAUUCUAUUUACUUUAAUGAAAAUUUAAGCAAGAAUUAAAGAAUUAAACAGAGCAUAAUACCAGAGGAAAUUUGCCCAAAAAAAUCGGCGUGGUGCAGAUCUGGGUUAAACUUGAAUGGAACGGAUUCAUCGAUGGAGACGUGGUGCAGGAAGCAUUCAUUUGCAAUGUGGCAAAUGUUGGGUUUCGAUAAUGGAAGUGGCGUGACGCCAGCGGCAGUCGCUGGCAACGAUGCGGCCAGUGAUCUUUUGGGGGUGGGUGGCGCGGCCCUGGCACAGUUAGGGUUCAUGGCAGAAGUUUUUGUUUUUUUAAUAUAUAUAUAUAUAUAUAUAUAUAAAUAAUUUUUUUGAAUAAAAAAUAGGUAACUUAAUAUUAAGAAAAUUAAUAAUAAUAAAAAUUAAAAUAAUAGUAAUAAAAAAAAAGUUCUUUCUUCUUUUUUUUCUUUUGAACCCUCUUUUCUUAUGUUCACACCCUUCUAUUACCCAUUUCAGUUUUUCUGCAUCUUAUUCUUGUAUGUUCACAUCUCUGACUUAUAUUAGUGUCGUGUAACAUUGUACAACUCAUCGAGAUUGUGAGAGUUUGUGACAAUCACUUGUACAUGUUAUAUUAAUGGAGUAUAUGCUUGUAAUGUGGGAAAGAUAUACAAAUUGUGGGAGGAAAUUCUGUGUACUGUGAAACCAAAGGUUUCAUUAGUUUGUAAUGUGGGAAGGUUAUACAAAUUGUGGGAGGAAAUUUUGUGCAAUGUGAAACUAAAAGUUUCAUUACUUUGUAAUGUGGGAAGGAUAUACAAAUUGUGGGAGGAAAUGUUGUGCACUGUGAAACUAAAGGUUUCAUUACUUUCUAAUGUGGGAAGGAUAUACAAAUUGUGGGAGGAAAUUUUGUGCACUGUGAAGCUAAAGGUUUCACUACUUUGUAAUGUGGGAAGGAUAUACAAAAUGUGGGAGGAAAUUCUGUGCACUGUGAAACUAAAGGUUUCAUUACUUUGUAAUAUGGGAAAGAUAUAUAAAUUGUGGGAGGAAAUUCUGUGCACUGUGAAACUAAAGGUUUCAUUACUUUGUAAUGUGAAAAGGAUAUACAAAUUGUGGGAGGAAAUUCUCUGCACUGUGAAACUAAAGGUUUCAUUACUUACGCUUACAUUAUUUUUUUUCUACGUUAAUUUGUGGCUGGAAAAACUUGUUUGGUGGAUUAUUAAUGACGUGUUAUUGGAAUGUGGGAGUUUGUGAUAGUCACUUCUAGAAGUUAUAUUAAUGAGUAUAUGCUUGUAAUGUGGGAAAAAUAUACAAAUUGUGGGAGGAAAUUCUGUGCACUGUGAAACUAAAAGUUUCAUUACUUUUUAAUGUGGGAAGGAUACACAAAUUGUGGGAGCAAAUUUUGUGCACUAUGAGACUAAAGGUUUCAUUACUUUGUAAAGUGGGAAGGAUAUACAAAUUGUGGGAGAAAAUUCUGUGCCCUGUAAAACUAAGGGUUUCAUUACUUAUGCUUACAUUAUUUUUUUUCUACGUUAAUUUGUGGCUGGCUAAACUUGUUUGGUGGAUUAUUAAUGAUGUGUUAUUGGAAUGUGGGAGUUUGUGACAAUGACUUGUUCAAGUUAUACAAAUGGAGUAUAUGCUUGUAAUGAGGGAAAGAUAUACAAAUUGUGGAAGGAAAUUCUGUGCACUGUGAAACCAAAGGUUUCAUUACUUUGUAAUGUGGGAAGGAUAUACAAAUUGUGGGAGGAAAUUUUGUGUACUGUGAAACUAAAGGUUUCAUUACUUGGUGGAUUAUUAAUGACGAGUUAUUGGAAUGUGGGAGUUUGUGAUAGUCACUUCUACAAGUUUUAUUAAUGGUGUAUAUGCUUGUAAUGUGGGAGUGUAUAUUAGACUUUGACAUUUGGGGAGAAUUUCUCUGCUACGCUGUCCUUUAAUUCUUGACGUGAAUUUUUGGUUUUAUAGAGGUACUUUGGGAUGAAUAUGGGACAUGUGAUGAAAUGCUUCUCGGUUUGAAAAGUUCUAUUACUCAGGUGCCUUGUCGAUAACCACUUUUAGUUGAAACCUUUCACUAUUUUCUCUUGAUAUGAAAAGAGAAAAGUUGUAAAUGGAACGAAUUUUGUUUGAAACAUUAUCGUUGCCAGGUUUGAGAUUUCUUUUGCGGACAUGUGAUUAAAAUAGUUGAAGAGUAGUUGGAAUGGCUCACGACAAAUUAACGUAAACUUCAACGGAAACACAAGAUGGAAUCGUGAUUUGUUUCUAUGCACUGGUGUUUGGAUUAGUUUUGUGUAACAUCUUGCAUCUAGAGAAGCCUGUUAUGAGAGUGUUUCCAUUGGUUUUUGUAUUCUUGAAUUUAUGAAUUUUUCUUAACCUCUGUGCACUUUUAGCUUUUAUUAAUUUAUGAAGCCUGCUGUGAUUUGUUUAUCUGCGGCAGUGUCUGAGUUAGUUAUGUAACGUCCUGCAUGGCAUGGAGAGCGAUCCCAGUUAUGAGUUUCUCCAUUGCUUUCUCAGUUCUUGAAUUUAUCUUUCGGUUCUAUACUUGAAUUUUUAAUUCUUGAAUUUAUCCAAUUGAUUUUUACUGAUCUUUUAUUUUCUCUUCUGUUACAUCAGCCAUUUAACUUUUAUUCAUUUGCAACGGCUCAGGGUAACAUAGUUUCUUCUGUAUUAAAUUUCUCUGGACUUGAUCACUGAGAAGUAAGGAUUGGAUUGUUAUUUGUGUCUCUGCUCCAGUCUUUGGAUUAGUUUCGAGAGCCUGUUACGAGUUUAUCCAUUGGGUUUUUGGUUCUUGAAUUUAUGAAUUGUUCCUGCGUAGCAUCAAGGCUCUAAUGAGGUUAUCUAUUAGUUUUUCAUUCUUGAGUGUAUGGAUUCAUCGUGACUUGGUUUUCUACUAAGACAUUCUUGGUCUUUGCAAGGAAGACAACCGAUGUAUCAUGUGAAGGUAUUUAGAUGACAGAUAUAUAUAUAUCAAAUGUUUGUAUCCAUUUUUUUUCAAGCACUGAACAAGCAGUGCUGAUUUCUAUCUUCAUCGAGUCUUGAGUUUGUGUAAUUACCUUAUGGUUCCUGUACUUUUUAAUCUUGUAAGAGAUUAUUUUUUUCGAUUUAAUUCUUCUUGCUUUCCUCUUGAGCUUUAUAGGGAGGCAAUGGAUGUGUGCUGUAGGUUUGAGAAGCAGUGGAUGAAAAUCCUGUGAAACUGUGUUUUGAAAAGAUGAAUCUUGAACAUUCCAUUCAUUUUAUUAGUGCAAAUUAAAUGGACGAAUCUUACAAGUCAUUCCUUUCAUUUUAAUGGUUUGGGAUUUCUUUUGCGGACAUGUGAUUAAAAUAGUUGAAGAGUAGUUGGAAUGGCUCAGAACAAGCUAACCUAAGCAUCAUUAAUAAACACAAGGUUUGAAUCGUGAUUUGUUUCUAUACAUUGGUGUUUGGAUUAAUUUGUGUAACUCUUGCAUCUAGAGAAGCCUGUUACGAGAGUUUUUUCACUGGUUUAUGUAGUUCUAAAUUUAUGAAUAUUUCUUAUCCUCUGUGUACUUCGUCUUCUAUUUAAUUCAUGGACAGGAUUCAUAGGGAAGGCAAACUAUGAGUUGUCGGAGGAAAUUCUGUGCACUGUGAAGCCGUCCCAAUCAUCGUUCUAGUUAGUUUUUCCCAAGAAAAACACAUUCAUUGUUUCCAUUUCAUUCGGAUUGGAAUGGCCACAACAACCCCAAAGUUGAUCUCUGACAAGAACGAGAUGCGAAACUGGUCUCGCUCCAUGCGGGCCCAAGGCAAGCUAAUUGGGUUUGUCCCCACCAUGGGCUUCCUCCACGCCGGCCACCUCUCUCUCGUCUCCCAGGCCCGCUCCCUCUGCGACGUGGUCGCCGUCUCCAUCUACGUCAACCCGGGCCAGUUCGCGCCCUCCGAGGACCUCUCCACCUACCCCUCCGAUUUCCAAGGCGACCUCCGCAAACUCGCCGCGCUGCCCGGCGGCGUCGACGUCGUCUUCCACCCCCACAAUCUGUAUGAUUAUGGACAUAAUAGUGGUGACGUGGCGGGUGAGGGAGGUGGCCCGGCGGCGUCUUGCGUUGAUGGUGAUGGGUCGGGGCACGAGACUUGGGUGAGGGUUGAGAAGCUAGAAGUGGGAUUGUGUGGGAAGAGUAGGCCCAUUUUCUUCAGAGGGGUGGCUACUAUAGUGACCAAAUUGUUCAACAUUGUGGAACCGGAUGUGGCUGUGUUCGGGAAAAAGGAUUAUCAGCAGUUGAGAGUUAUUCAGAGGAUGGUUCGAGAUCUUGAUUUUUCCAUAAAAGUGAUCGGUGCUGAAAUAACACGUGAGAGUGAUGGCCUGGCAAUGAGUUCACGUAAUGUGCACCUUUCACCUGAAGAGAGGGAAAAGGCACUUUCAAUAAAUAAAUCUUUGUUAAAAGCUAAAUCUGCAGCAGAAGAUGGUGAAGUGCGUUGUGAGAAGUUGAGCAAUUUGGUCAUACAGUGUAUUGCUGAGGCCGGUGGAAGGAUUGAUUAUGCUGAGAUUGUUGAUCAAAAUAAUUUGGAAAAAGUGGAACAGAUCAAGGGUCCUGUUGUCUUUUGCAUCGCUGCAUGGUUUGGGAAAGUCAGACUUAUAGACAACAUGGAAAUCAACUUGUCCAUAGGUGUUUAGUCACCUUCUAUCAUCUCAGACAUGGACCACACGCGUGAUAGUUCGGGCCACAUGCUUAAGAGUUCACUGUUAGGUCAUGAUAGAUUUUUGCCAACUAUGCAUGAUUACCUUUAGAUGCAUUUUUCCACAUUAUGAAAGAGAGCUGCUACCAGUGGACACUUCUGGAAAUCAAUCAACUGGGUUGUUUCCUUUUUAAUAAGGAACUCAUGUUUAUUCAUACUCGAGUUCAACUAUUUGUUGAAUAAAACCUCCAUGAAUGUGAGAAGGGAAGACUGGAAUUUAUUGAGAACAAAUAAUGGGAUUGAAGGACUAUAGAUCCUCAAAACAACAAUAAAAUUGAAGAAGUAUUCCUACUCUCAGAUACUUUGCAAUGUAGCUUCAUACUGCAAUUCGGUAACUUUGAUCUCAGUAUUGUCUACAACGGAUUAUAUUUGUAUAGGGUAUGCUUUAUAAAUAUAUUUGCUUAAGUUAUAAUAGUAAGGAACUAAUGAUAUAAUUUAAUUUAAGUGUCUCACAAAACCAAAUAAUUAGCCUGGCUUAAUAUUGGCUGUCUUUUGUCCUCGCAUAUGGUACCCUUCUUGUUUCAUUUGUUUUCUUCCCUACAUUCUUUAUUUUCACUUUCUUAAACCCUGGUCACAGAUUGUAUUAAACUAAUACGUGGCUGCCUUACAUUCCAAUGUAUGCUGUGACUUUGCUAAGACUAAAUAAUUCAUUGGAGCUGCUGCCUCACAAACGUAAUGAUGUCAAUUUGUAAUGUCGCCUAAUUACUCUUUGCUCUUUUUAAGUAUUAGAUUAUCUUUAUUUCGGGAUUUUAAUGGAUUUCCAAUAGUUGUUACCAGGAAGGAACAUUCAUGUUGUUGGUCCACUAAUUGAGAGUCUGCAUCUUGCUUUCUCCAUGGUUCACAAGAAGGAUUAUUCUAUUUCUAGGUCCAUGAGGAUCCUACAUGAAAGUUCAUAACAAUUGACAAGGGAUUGAUUGAGAAGCUAUGUUCCAUCAAAUGUUUCUUUUUCUUGGUUUCUUUCUGUUGUGUACUUUUGUCCAAUCCUCUUUUUUUUUUUUUCGAUUUUUGUUCUAUCUCAGUUUUUAUAAUAAAAAGUAAAAGAGUAAAUUAUACUCAUUUCCUUUGUGUUUUAUUUGGAUUUCACCUUAUACAACUCCAUUAUUUUGCAUUACUUUUACCCUCUUAAGAAAAUGACAUUAACUAACAUUUUUUUCUUUUAGUUGAAUAAUGAAAGUGUCCUACUCCACUUUUGUAAAACAGAAAAUGUCUUCUCACUUAACUCCCGAAUCUGGCUACCUCCUAUUAAAAUCCAAAACCUUACUUUCUUUGUGUAAGUAUGCCUGUUUUUGGCUCUCAUGUGCAUCCCCACGCCAAUGAUGGUGCAUUGUUGCUGAAGCUGGCAAAGGCUUUUGAGUGCAAUGUAAAUGAGGUGGUUGGUGUGUAUCUUCUGUGAUUGGAUGAAACUUCGGUUUUGCACAAAUCUUGGAGCCCAAAUGCUACUUUUCUUAAUGUGUCAACUUUAUUCUCCAGCCAAUCAAAAUGCUCAAGGACAACCUUCUUAUCUACCAUUGAAAGCACACAAUUAAAGUUCCAUUAGAUGACAUUUUAGAUAGUAUUCACAAAUUUCGUAGGAAUAAUAGAAAUGAAUCUCAUAAGAUCCUAUAAAUAAUAGUGGCAACAUUUUAAUUGUUUGAUGGAUAAUUUGAACAUGCUUACUCUACUUUGUGCAUGCAUAAUUUGAAACUAUAAAGGUCAUAAGAAAAACAACUUACAAGUAAGCAGAGUUCAAUUUUGACAUUAGAGUUUUGCAGUAAAUUUCAAGCUACGAAGGUCAUAAGAAAAACAUUUUACAAUUAAGCGGAUUUCAAUUUUGACAGUAAAGUUUAGCAGCUGAUUUUAUUUUUUCAAUUCUUUAACCCACUAACUGACACUGUCGUCAAAAUAUCAUGAUUAUUUGAAUGAGCAUAUUCAUCUUCCUUUUCUUAAAGAUUUUCAUUUAGAAGAGAUUUAGAAGCAGGUUCAUUUUUGACCAUGUUCCAACUUUACUGUUGUCAUGACAGGCUGAGUAUCAUCCUGUUGUUAAAUGUACUUAUUUUUGUUUUAGUUCCAAAGUUAUUUUAACUUGUUUGAUAAUGCAGUCGACAUAAUACAUAUAUAUUUGUCUUAAUUGUGAAUACAAUGUUACAUAAAAAGCAUACAUUCAAAUCUUACAUAUUCUGGUCAUUGUAUAUUUGCUUACAUGCACCUCCCUAGUACUAUUGAGAAGUUAUAAACCUUGUUCCAUACAACAUACACUUGACAUGGAAUGAAAUAACUCAUGGCGCAUGAUGCAUAGAUAUGAUAUAUCUAUCAUGUAUGAUAUGGCACAUGAUGCAUAGAUAUGAUAUAUCUCUCAUGUAUGAUAUGUAUUCUACACAACAAUUUGAUUAUUCUAAAAGUAUAUAGGACAUGAUGUGUAAGAUACAUAUUUAAAAAUUGAAAAGACAUGAUAACUAUAUAAUUGUAAUUCUACAACUCCAAAUUAAUACCACAUUAUGACUUAUGUUAUGGGAGUCCUUUUGUUUGACUCUCGAGUUAACAGAUUCACGGAGUUGAGGCUGGUUAUCAGGCUAGCUCCAAUGGUCUUUAUUUCUUUAUUAUUUGACUGGUUUACUUGUGUUGUGGAAACUUGGAACAACAAUAUUGCUGGCAGAAGAUAUUAAUUUUGGUAUUCUGUUUCUAUUUGGUAAACAGUUAGAAUCUGUUCUUUCUUAAUGCAACCUAUUUCCCACCUCUUCAGUACUUACCAUAUUUACAGGAGACUAAAAGCAAGUCAUUAGGGUGGAGACGAGGAAACUUAGUAGCAACACUUCUAUAUAACUAUCCAAGCUUUAUCUUCAUUGAAUUGAGAAUAAAAUGAUUGUGAUUUCAUUUAUGUUACAAACAAGAGCACUACGUAAUGUAGGGAAGUGGUGAAGUGUUUACGGAGCCAAAAAAGAUUUUACAAUUUGUAAUGUGAACUGGUUGCUUGUUGGUAUUUUACUGCACAUAUUUUCUCUCUUUUUUAUGUUGGCAAAUGCUGAGGUUCUGAAUCAAGGUAUUAGAAAACAAUACAGUCAAAGAGAGAAAUGAAGAGGGUGUCAAUCUGAAAGAGGAAGAUAUAGAGAAUUUGUGAGGGGCAUGCGUAGAGAGAGGUGUUGCUUAUGUUUGGAUUUGUUGUGACCUGCGAAAAAUGUAUGUGGAAAGUUCAUGCAGAUUAUCCCUUCGAGGACUCGAGCAUAAGAGGCAGGACAAAUGUCCAUCUUACAUUACAGCAAAGACAGCUCAAUUAUCUCUGCUAUUGCGAUACUUAUUCAAAGGGGACUUAAUAUUAUUAUAUGCUUUGCAGUUUUUUAAAUUUAACGAAGUUGUAAA